rnacentral:rRNA from 1 species
GAUGAACGCUGGCGGCGUGCCUAAUACAUGCAAGUCGAGCGAACAGACGAGGAGCUUGCUCCUCUGACGUUAGCGGCGGACGGGUGAGUAACACGUGGAUAACCUACCUAUAAGACUGGGAUAACUUUGGGAAACCGGAGCUAAUACCGGAUAAUAUAUUGAACCGCAUGGUUCAAUAGUGAAAGACGGUUUUGCUGUCACUUAUAGAUGGAUCCGCGCCGCAUUAGCUAGUUGGUAAGGUAACGGCUUACCAAGGCGACGAUGCGUAGCCGACCUGAGAGGGUGAUCGGCCACACUGGAACUGAGACACGGUCCAGACUCCUACGGGAGGCAGCAGUAGGGGAUCUUCCGCAAUGGGCGAAAGCCUGACGGAGCAACGCCGCGUGAGUGAUGAAGGUCUUCGGAUCGUAAAACUCUGUUAUUAGGGAAGAACAAAUGUGUAAGUAACUAUGCACGUCUUGACGGUACCUAAUCAGAAAGCCACGGCUAACUACGUG